UUUAGGAGAUUGGACUUGCUCUUCAUUUUGUGUUAAGUUAUCAUCUGGCAGCCCUGUGUCUGAUAAAGCAGCAAACUGAUUUCUUGUUUGCACUGAAUAAUUUUGCGAAGUUGAUCCAUGUCUGGCCAUCCAUAUGAGAAUUUACCCACUACAGCAUACUGAAAUUUCUCAAUGAUAUUCAUCCUUUUCACCUCUUCCUCGGUCCAUUUGAGAUAUGGUACCCCAUGGAGAAAAGAUACUUUCUUGAUUUCAAUUGGUGCAACAGUCUGUGUUUCUUCAUUCAAAAUUGUAGGCUUCAAAA